rnacentral:rRNA from 1 species
UGGGGAAUAUUGCACAAUGGGCGCAAGCCUGAUGCAGCCAAGCCGCGUGUAUGAAGAAGGCCUUCGGGUUGUAAAGUACUUUCAGCGGGGAGGAAGGGAGUAAAGUUAAUACCUUUGCUCAUUGACGUUACCCGCAGAAGAAGCACCGGCUAACUCCGUGCCAGCAGCCGCGGUAAUACGGAGGGUGCAAGCGUUAAUCGGAAUUACUGGGCGUAAAGCGCACGCAGGCGGUUUGUUAAGUCAGAUGUGAAAUCCUCGGGCUCAACCUGGGAACUGCAUCUGAUACUGGCAAGCUUGAGUCUCGUAGAGGGGGGUAGAAUUCCAGGUGUAGCGGUGAAAUGCGUAGAGAUCUGGAGGAAUACCGGUGGCGAAGGCGGCCCCCUGGACGAAGACUGACGCUCAGGUGCGAAAGCGUGGGGAGCAAACAGG